ACUUAAAUAGCUUAAGAAAAGUGUUACAUUGAAGCUGUAAAGAUGACAUUUCUGUCUUUGGGUG
rnacentral:tRNA from 1 species